rnacentral:rRNA from 1 species
CACGUAGGCGGACUGGAAAGUUGGAGGUGAAAUCCCAGGGCUCAACCUUGGAACUGCCUUCAAAACUAUCAGUCUGGAGUUCGAGAGAGGUGAGUGGAAUUCCGAGUGUAGAGGUGAAAUUCGUAGAUAUUCGGAGGAACACCAGUGGCGAGGGCGGCUCACUGGCUCGAUACUGACGCUGAGGUGCGAAAGCGUGGGGAGCAAACA